UCAUUUAAAGAGUGCGUAACAGCUCACUAGUCAAGAGAUCUUGCGCGGAAAAUGUAACGGGGCUAAGCAUAGCACCGAAGAUGUGAACUUGUGCAUAGCACAAGAUUUAGCAGACAAACAGAUAACAUUUAGCAGAAAUUUAGCAGAGAACAGGUAGCAGACAAGUCUGAUAUCUGACAAAUGCAAAAUUUCUGUCAUCUGCUACCUGAGAUCUGAUAAAUCAUGCGCUAUGCAUGAGUGGUAGAGGAGCGUUCCUCUCUGCGUUGAAGUUGAACCGUGAGGUUUGGUGGAGCGUGAGGAAGUGAGAAUGUUGGAAUGAGUAACCAUAAGGCAGGUGAGAAUCCUGCCCACCGAAAGAGCAAGGUUUCCUGGGCCACGGUAAUCGUCCCAGGGUUAGUCGGUCCUAAGCCGAGGCGCGUAGCGUAGGCGAUGGACAACAGGUUAAUAUUCCUGUACUGGCACACAUUUGUUAUAUGUGCGCGGCAUAUUAGUAGGAGCGGAUUCAUGGUUAUAUCCGUCUAAGUAGGAGAAAUGCCUGCGAAUGAAACGACCAUCAGGUUGAAUUUCUAUAAAAGUGCUGACUAGAAAAGCAAUAUAACGCGUGGUGUGAGCCAUCCGUACCGCAAACCGACACAGGUGCUCAGGUCGAGAAGACCAAGGUGUACGAGUGAUUCUUCGUUAAGGAACUCGGCAAACAAGCGACCGUAACUUCGGGAUAAGGUCUGCCCUCUCACAUU
rnacentral:rRNA from 1 species